rnacentral:rRNA from 1 species
GUAGGUGGCAAGCGUUGUCCGGAAUUAUUGGGCGUAAAGCGCGCGCAGGCGGUCCUUUAAGUCUGAUGUGAAAGCCCACGGCUCAACCGUGGAGGGUCAUUGGAAACUGGGGGACUUGAGUGCAGAAGAGGAAAGCGGAAUUCCAAGUGUAGCGGUGAAAUGCGUAGAGAUUUGGAGGAACACCAGUGGCGAAGGCGGCUUUCUGGUCUGUAACUGACGCUGAGGCGCGAAAGCGUGGGGAGCAAACAGGGAUUAGAUACCCUGGUAGUCCACGCCGUAAACGAUGAGUGCUAAGUGUUAGGGGGGUUUCCGCCCCCUUAGUGCUGCAGCUAACGCAUUAAGCACUCCGCCUGGGGAGUACGGCCGCAAGGCUG